UCGUUUUAUGGGACACGACAUUAGAGUCCAUUGUGAGUUUUAUCGGCAGACCGAUAAAACUUUCCAAGUGGCCAAGAUUGCCAAACUACUGUUUGCGAUGGAACGUGGGACAGAGUCGCUGAAGGGAAAGAGUCUGCAAACCCUGGACUCUGUUAUCACUGGAAGAGCACAUGCAGCCACCUCAACCAAAGGUCUGAAAAGUGGCAAAAAGAGAAGACCAGAUCCAGGGAGACGACAGGAAGCUCAAGAUGAAUGAGAAGUGCCACAUUCAGCUGUAGCAACGAGAUCUGAUGAUGAAGAUGAUGGAGGCGGUAACAGUACCAACUUGGACACUGAAAACACAGGCACCUACAAAAGGCCACCGAAGAUGCAGUCAAUUAAAGAAAGAAAUUAUGCUGAUGACGACAUGAGUGAUGUUUCUGGCAGUGAAUAUGGCGAUGGAGGGGUGUGCCAUAAGACAGUUAAGAAGACUGUCAAGAAAAAAAAGACAAUGUUGGGAAGACAUGGAUUGGUCUAUGACGCAUCUUUCACACAUGGCCAAGAACAACCAUCAACAUCAGGGAGCGCCACCAAACGAAAGAGGAUUGCAACACUUACACAUGACGACGAUGAUGUUGAAGACAGCGAUGAAGAGGACAAAAAGACUGGACACAGAUCUCUUGGGAAGAAGAAGACAGCAGUUCGAAAAGAACAUAGUGAAGUUGAAUUGGAAACUAAAAAAAGGAAGAGACCCGGACUCCAAAGGAAAGAGCAGCAAUUGAUCGACACCUUUCAAAAUUUGUAGCAUUAAAGAAAGUUCCAAGGAAAGAUGACUGCGUUAAGUGUCGUAGUCAAGCAUCGCCAGACCUUGAAGACCGCACAUGGAGAGAUAUUCCACAAUGAAAUUAUUAAAAGAUAUGUAAUUGGGAAAAAAGCUUGAAGAUGAAAGAUAGAGAGAGGGAGAGACAUAGGGGGGAGAUAGAUGAAGGGAGAGAGGGAAUGGGAUGAGAGAGAGGGGAGAAAAGGAAUAGAGUUUGAAAGCACAGUUAUUUGGUAGGGUAUAUGUGGGUUCAUGUGUCAGGUUGUGGCGCAGCAAGUUUUUUUAGUGUGCGUUUUGAAGGUUGAAGUUUUUCAGGUGUUCUUGUAAGUUUUGAAUAAGAGUACUUUUGUUUGUCAAAAAUAAAUCAUAAAGUCAAGUCAGCUUUUAUUGUCAAAUAUGCUCUCUGUGUAAUGUACAGCACAGAUUAAAAUACUUUCCUCUCUCAGCCACAGUGCAAACAUGUGGCGUAUUGAACACACAAAUAUCAGAACUAAAUAAAACUAAAUAAAUGACAGUACCCAUAAAUUAAUGGUGAUAAACUGUUUAAAAAUAAUAUAUCUGAUUAUAAAUUUACAUCAUUAAAUGUUUAGUAAGGUGAACGGCACCUAAUCUACUUCAAAAUCAUUAAGAACGCAUGGCCAGUGCCCGGUCCUCACUUAUCUAGUUAAAAACUUUUUCUUAACCUUUGGUGUUUUAUUUAAUCUAAAGGAAUGUAUUGCCUAAGGGCGCCCUCCUGUGUCUAGAAAUGUGUCUUUUUCAUUUAUUUU